rnacentral:rRNA from 1 species
GACGAACGCUGGCGGCGUGCUUAACACAUGCAAGUCGAACGGAAAGGCCCUGCUUUUGUGGGGUGCUCGAGUGGCGAACGGGUGAGUAACACGUGAGUAACCUGCCCUUGACUUUGGGAUAACUUCAGGAAACUGGGGCUAAUACCGGAUAGGAGCUCCUGCUGCAUGGUGGGGGUUGGAAAGUUUCGGCGGUUGGGGAUGGACUCGCGGCUUAUCAGCUUGUUGGUGGGGUAGUGGCUUACCAAGGCUUUGACGGGUAGCCGGCCUGAGAGGGUGACCGGCCACAUUGGGACUGAGAUACGGCCCAGACUCCUACGGGAGGCAGCAGUGGGGAAUAUUGCACAAUGGGCGGAAGCCUGAUGCAGCAACGCCGCGUGCGGGAUGACGGCCUUCGGGUUGUAAACCGCUUUCGCCUGUGACGAAGCGUGAGUGACGGUAAUGGGUAAAGAAGCACCGGCUAACUACGUGCCAGCAGCCGCGGUGAUACGUAGGGUGCGAGCGUUGUCCGGAUUUAUUGGGCGUAAAGGGCUCGUAGGUGGUUGAUCGCGUCGGAAGUGUAAUCUUGGGGCUUAACCCUGAGCGUGCUUUCGAUACGGGUUGACUUGAGGAAGGUAGGGGAGAAUGGAAUUCCUGGUGGAGCGGUGGAAUGCGCAGAUAUCAGGAGGAACACCAGUGGCGAAGGCGGUUCUCUGGGCCUUUCCUGACGCUGAGGAGCGAAAGCGUGGGGAGCGAACAGGCUUAGAUACCCUGGUAGUCCACGCUGUAAACGGUGGGUACUAGGUGUGGGGUCCAUUCCACGGGUUCCGUGCCGUAGCUAAUGCUUUAAGUACCCCGCCUGGGGAGUACGGCCGCAAGGCUAAAACUCAAAGGAAUUGACGGGGCCCCGCACAAGCGGCGGAGCAUGCGGAUUAAUUCGAUGCAACGCGUAGAACCUUACCUGGGUUUGACAUGGAUCGGGAGUGCUCAGAGAUGGGUGUGCCUCUUUUGGGGUCGGUUCACAGGUGGUGCAUGGCUGUCGUCAGCUCGUGUCGUGAGAUGUUGGGUUAAGUCCCGCAACGAGCGCAACCCUUGUUCACUGUUGCCAGCACGUUAUGGUGGGGACUCAGUGGAGACCGCCGGGGUCAACUCGGAGGAAGGUGGGGAUGACGUCAAGUCAUCAUGCCCCUUAUGUCCAGGGCUUCACGCAUGCUACAAUGGCUGGUACAGAGAGUGGCGAGCCUGUGAGGGUGAGCGAAUCUCGGAAAGCCGGUCUCAGUUCGGAUUGGGGUCUGCAACUCGACCUCAUGAAGUCGGAGUCGCUAGUAAUCGCAGAUCAGCAACGCUGCGGUGAAUACGUUCCCGGG